rnacentral:pre_miRNA from 13 species
AACCGCACGGGAUAAUCAUUUUUCCAUGCGGUUAGGUUAAGUGGACCGUAUAGGAUAAUCGAUUAUCCCGUGCAGAC